CUCCGGUCUUGAAAACCGGUAUAGUUCGCAAAGAACUAUCGAGGGUUCGAAUCCCUCUCUCUCCUUUUCUCGAUGAAUAGAUUUAUGUCUAUAUUGGUUUUGACUGGCCCAGUAUCAUAAAUAUAAAUGGCUCGGCUAGGUGGGAUAGCCGAGCCAGAAAAAAAAUGGAUUAGAUCUAAAUGAGUUGAAAAUAAAAAAAAGGAAAAAGAAAUACUUUUUAAGUAUGACCUGAUCCACCCAAUCAAUAUGUAUUGUAGAAUCAAAUUUAUUUCUACUUUAAAUAUUGGAUCUCUUGUCUCAGUUAGUUAAGAGGAGUCAUGGAAAGAACAGGUUCAAAAUCACGAUCAAUUCCUUUUUCAAAUCCUGCUGCAGCUGCACG
rnacentral:misc_RNA from 1 species